rnacentral:lncRNA from 1 species
GGGUAGGGCUACUUGCAUUGUUUUGGUGGUCGGUGGAUUGCCUCGUCUGUUUAAAUGAAAAUGGACUAAGAUCGAGAUGUGAUAGUGUUCGUGAUCAAGUGUUUGAAAAUACUAAUCUCAUACCUAGUAUGGGAUAGGGAAGCCUAGUACCUGAUUGAACCAGCGUGGACCUUUACCCCGCUGUCUCUGGAACUGGGUUCCCAUGGUGCAUCAUGUGGGUACAAGUGCAACCUCGGUACGGCGGAGUCCGGGACCGUUGGGGCAUUGUAUGCCAAAGGAAGUGGGCUCUGGAAAACACCGCGAAUUGAUGGGGACGGCAUGAUAUAUGUGAACCCGGCGCAGCAGUAGCAUAUGUUGUGGGAUUAGGUUCGCCAUGCAUGGUUAAUAAAUUCGAAUCGAUUCGUCUGCCUCUCACAGUUUG